rnacentral:rRNA from 1 species
UACGUAAGGUGCAAGCGUUGUCCGGAAUUAUUGGGCGUAAAGAGCUUGUAGGCGGUUUGUCGCGUCUGCUGUGAAAUUUCGGGGCUCAACCCCGAACUUGCAGUGGGUACGGGCAGACUAGAGUGUGGUAGGGGGAGACUGGAAUUCCUGGUGUAGCGGUGAAAUGCGCAGAUAUCAGGAGGAACACCGAUGGCGAAGGCAGGUCUCUGGGCCAUAACUGACGCUGAGGAGCGAAAGCGUGGGGAGCGAACAGG